UCAAAGAUUAAGCCAUGCAUGUCUAAGUAUAAGCUUUUAUACGGUGAAACUGCGAAUGGCUCAUUAAAACAGUUAUAGUUUAUUUGAUGGUCUCUUUACAUGGAUAACCAUGGUAAUUCUAUGGCUAAUACAUGCGCACUUGCCUCCUUCUCUGGAGGGGCUGUGUUUAUUAGAUACAGAACCAACCCACUUUGUUGUGGAGUCUUGGUGAUUCAUAGUAACCGAACGGAUCGCAAUUGGCUUCGGCCCGCGAUAGAUCUUUCAAGUUUCUGACCUAUCAGCUUUCGACGGUAGGGUAUUGGCCUACCGUGGCAGUGACGGGUAACGGGGAAUUAGGGUUUGAUUCCGGAGAGGGAGCCUGAGAAACGGCUACCACAUCUAAGGAAGGCAGCAGGCGCGCAAAUUACCCAAUGAAAACAGUUUCGAGGUAGUGACGAGAAAUAACAAUACAGGGCAUUUUAUGCUCUGUAAUUGGAAUGAUGGGAAUCCAAAACCCUUUCAGAGUAACAAUUGGAGGGCAAGUCUGGUGCCAGCAGCCGCGGUAAUUCCAGCUCCAAUAGCGUAUAUUAGAGUUGUUGCAGUUAAAAAGCUCGUAGUUGGAUUUCUGUCGUGGUCUUCCGGUUUCGCCCGUACGGGUGUUAACUUGGUUAGCCCUCGGCAUUCUUCCGGUCCCUUCCCCGCUUCAUUGCGUGGUAGGUUUAUCCGGAACUUUUACUUUGAGAAAAAUAGAGUGUUUCAAGCAGGCUUUCGCCUUGAAUACUUCAGCAUGGAAUAAUAAGAUAGGACUUUGGUUCUAUUUUGUUGGUUUCUAGGACUAAAGUAAUGAUUAAUAGGGACAGUUGGGGGCAUUCGUAUUUAACUGUCAGAGGUGAAAUUCUUAGAUUUGUUAAAGACGAACUACUGCGAAAGCAUUUGCCAAGGAUGUUUUCAUUAAUCAAGAACGACAGUAGGGGGUUUGAAGACGAUUAGAUACCGUCGUAAUCUCUACCAUAAACUAUGCCGACUA
rnacentral:rRNA from 1 species